UUGGAUGAACGCUAGCUACAGGCUUAACACAUGCAAGUCGAGGGGCAGCAUUUUAGUUUGCUUGCAAACUAAAGAUGGCGACCGGCGCACGGGUGAGUAACACGUAUCCAACCUGCCGAUAACUCGGGGAUAGCCUUUCGAAAGAAAGAUUAAUAUCCGAUGGUAUAUUAAAACCGCAUGGUUUUACUAUUAAAGAAUUUCGGUUAUCGAUGGGGAUGCGUUCCAUUAGUUUGUUGGCGGGGUAACGGCCCACCAAGACUACGAUGGAUAGGGGUUCUGAGAGGAAGGUCCCCCACAUUGGAACUGAGACACGGUCCAAACUCCUACGGGAGGCAGCAGUGAGGAAUAUUGGUCAAUGGACGAGAGUCUGAACCAGCCAAGUAGCGUGAAGGAUGACUGCCCUAUGGGUUGUAAACUUCUUUUAUAUGGGAAUAAAGUAUUCCACGUAUGGGAUUUUGUAUGUACCAUAUGAAUAAGGAUCGGCUAACUCCGUGCCAGCAGCCGCGGUAAUACGGAGGAUCCGAGCGUUAUCCGGAUUUAUUGGGUUUAAAGGGAGCGUAGGUGGAUUGUUAAGUCAGUUGUGAAAGUUUGCGGCUCAACCGUAAAAUUGCAGUUGAAACUGGCAGUCUUGAGUACAGUAGAGGUGGGCGGAAUUCGUGGUGUAGCGGUGAAAUGCUUAGAUAUCACGAAGAACUCCGAUUGCGAAGGCAGCUCACUAGACUGCAACUGACACUGAUGCUCGAAAGUGUGGGUAUCAAACAGGAUUAGAUACCCUGGUAGUCCACACAGUAAACGAUGAAUACUCGCUGUUUGCGAUAUACAGUAAGCGGCCAAGCGAAAGCAUUAAGUAUUCCACCUGGGGAGUACGCCGGCAACGGUGAAACUCAAAGGAAUUGACGGGGGCCCGCACAAGCGGAGGAACAUGUGGUUUAAUUCGAUGAUACGCGAGGAACCUUACCCGGGCUUAAAUUGCAUUUGAAUAAUCUGGAAACAGGUUAGCCGCAAGGCAAAUGUGAAGGUGCUGCAUGGUUGUCGUCAGCUCGUGCCGUGAGGUGUCGGCUUAAGUGCCAUAACGAGCGCAACCCUUAUCUUUAGUUACUAACAGGUCAUGCUGAGGACUCUAGAGAGACUGCCGUCGUAAGAUGUGAGGAAGGUGGGGAUGACGUCAAAUCAGCACGGCCCUUACGUCCGGGGCUACACACGUGUUACAAUGGGGGGUACAGAAGGCAGCUACCUGGCGACAGGAUGCUAAUCCCAAAAACCUCUCUCAGUUCGGAUCGAAGUCUGCAACCCGACUUCGUGAAGCUGGAUUCGCUAGUAAUCGCGCAUCAGCCAUGGCGCGGUGAAUACGUUCCCGGGCCUUGUACACACCGCCCGUCAAGCCAUGAAAGCCGGGGGUACCUGAAGUACGUAACCGCAAGGAGCGUCCUAGGGUAAAAC
rnacentral:rRNA from 1 species